rnacentral:misc_RNA from 1 species
AAGUCGUAACAAGGUUUCCGUAGGUGAACCUGCGGAAGGAUCAUUAUCGAAUGCAAUACGGGGAUGUUGCUGGCCAAAUGGCAUUGUGCACUCCUCUAUUUCAUACAUCCACCUGUGCACAUGAAGUAGGCAUAUGGAUUGAUU